CGGUUGAUCCUGCCGGAGGCUAUUGCUAUCAGGGUUUGACUAAGCCAUGCGAGUCGAGAGGUGAAAGACCUCGGCAUACUGCUCAGUAACACGUGGAUAAUCUGCCCUCAGGUGAGGAAUAAUCCCGGGAAACUGGGGCUAAUGCCUCAUAGGAGACGGGUGCUGGAAUGCUCUGUCUCCGAAAGGUCCGCCGCCUGAGGAUGAGUCUGCGUCCGAUUAGGUUGUUGUUGGGGUAACGGCCCAACAAGCCUUUGAUCGGUACGGGUUGUGGGAGCAAGAGCCCGGAGAUGGAUUCUGAGACAUGAAUCCAGGCCCUACGGGGCGCAGCAGGCGCGAAAACUUUACAAUGCGAGCAAUCGUGAUAAGGAAACCCUGAGUGCCUGUCAAUGCAGGCUGUUCUGGUGUCUAACACACACCAGGAGAAAGGGCGGGGCAAGACCGGUGCCAGCCGCCGCGGUAAUACCGGCUGCUCGAGUGAUAGCCACUUUUACUGGGCUUAAAGCGUUCGUAGCUUGGUCGUUAAGUCUCUGGGGAAAUCUUUUGGCUCAACCAAAAGGCGUCUCAGGGAAACUGACGAUCUUGGAACCGGGAGAGGUAAGACGUACUUCGGGGGUAGGAGUGAAAUCUUGUAAUCCCCGAGGGACGACCGAUGGCGAAGGCAUCUUACCAGAACGGCUUCGACAGUGAGGGACGAAAGCUGGGGGAGCAAACCGGAUUAGAUACCCGGGUAGUCCCAGCCGUAAACGAUGUGCGUUAGGUGUGUCAGUGACCACGAGUCGCUGAGGUGCCGAAGGGAAACCGUGGAACGCACCGCCUGGGAAGUACGGUCGCAAGGCUGAAACUUAAAGGAAUUGGCGGGGGAGCAC
rnacentral:rRNA from 1 species